GACGAACGCUGGCGGCGUGCUUAACACAUGCAAGUCGAACGGAAAGGCCCUGCUUUUGUGGGGUGCCCGAGUGGCGAACGGGUGAGUAACACGUGAGUAACCUGCCCUUGACUUUGGGAUAACUUCAGGAAACUGGGGCUAAUACCGGAUAGGAGCUCCUGCUGCAUGGUGGGGGUUGGAAAGUUUCGGCGGUUGGGGAUGGACUCGCGGCUUAUCAGCUUGUUGGUGGGGUAGUGGCUUACCAAGGCUUUGACGGCUAGCCGGCCUGAGAGGGUGACCGGCCACAUUGGGACUGAGAGAGGGCCCAGAGGCGUACGGGAGGCAGCAGUGGGGAAUAUUGCACAAUGGGCGGAAGUCUGAGGCAAAGACGCCGCGUGCGGGAUGACGGCCUUCGGGUUGUAAACCGCUUUAGCCUGUGACGAAGCGUGAGUGACGGUAAUGGGUAAAGAAGCACCGGCUAACUACGUG
rnacentral:rRNA from 1 species